AUACGUAGGGGGCAAGCGUUGUUCGGAAUUACUGGGCGUAAAGCGCGUGUAGGCGGUCCGAUAAGUCGGAAGUGAAAGCCCUCGGCUCAACCGGGGAAUUGCUUACGAUACUGCCGGACUUGAGUGCCGGAGAGGGUGGCGGAAUUCCAGGUGUAGGAGUGAAAUCCGUAGAUAUCUGGAGGAACACCGGUGGCGAAGGCGGCCACCUGGCCGGCAACUGACGCUGAGGUGCGAAAGCGUGGGGAUC
rnacentral:rRNA from 1 species